CUGAUGCAGCGAUGCCGCGUGAGGGAAGAAGGUUUUCGGAUUGUAAACCUCUGUCUUAAGGGACGAUAAUGACGGUACCUGAAGAAAAAGCUCCGGCUAACUACGUGCCAGCAGCCGCGGUAAUACGUAGGGGGCAAGCGUUAUCCGGAUUUACUGGGUGUAAAGGGAGCGUAGACGGUGAAGUAAGUCUGGAGUGAAAGGCGGGGGCCCAACCCCCGGACUGCUCUGGAAACUAUUUGACUGGAGUGCAGGAGAGGUAGGCGGAAUUCCUAGUGUAGCGGUGAAAUGCGUAGAUAUUAGGAGGAACACCAGUGGCGAAGGCGGCUUGCUGGACGAUGACUGACGUUGAGGCUCGAAAGCGUGGGGAGCAAACAGGAUUAGAUACCCUGGUAGUCCACGCCGUAAACGAUGAUUACUAGGUGUGGGGGGGGCUGACCCCUUUCCGUGCCGCAGUUAACACAAUAAGUAAUCCACCUGGGGAGUACGUUCGCAAGAAUGAAACUCAAAGGAAUUGACGGGGGCCCGCACAAGCGGAGGAACAUGUGGUUUAAUUCGAUGAUACGCGAGGAACCUUACCCGGGCUCAAACGGGGAGUGACUCAGGCAGAGACGCCUGUUUCCCACGGGACACUCCCCGAGGUGCUGCAUGGUUGUCGUCAGCUCGUGUCGUGAGAUGUUGGGUUAAGUCCCGCAACGAGCGCAACCCUUAUUGUUAGUUGCUACGCAAGAGCACUCUAGCGAGACUGCCGUUGACAAAACGGAGGAAGGUGGGGA
rnacentral:rRNA from 1 species